rnacentral:rRNA from 1 species
AUUGAACGCUGGCGGCAGGCCUAACACAUGCAAGUCGAACGGUAACAGGAAACAGCUUGCUGUUUCGCUGACGAGUGGCGGACGGGUGAGUAAUGUCUGGGAAACUGCCUGAUGGAAGGGGAUAACUACUGGAAACGGUAGCUAAUACCGCAUAACGUCGCAAGACCAAAGAGGGGGACCUUCGGGCCUCUUGCCAUCGGAUGUGCCCAGAUGGGAUUAGCUAGUAGGUGGGGUAACGGCUCACCUAGGCGACGAUCCCUAGCUGGUCUGAGAGGAUGACCAGCCACACUGGAACUGAGACACGGUCCAGACUCCUACGGGAGGCAGCAGUGGGGAAUAUUGCACAAUGGGCCCAAGCCUGAUGCAGCCAUGCCGCGUGUAUGAAGAAGGCCUUCGGGUUGUAAAGUACUUUCAGCGGGGAUGAAGGGAGUAAAGUUAAUACCUUUGCUCAUUGACGUUACCCGCAGAAGAAGCACCGGCUAACUCCGUG